rnacentral:misc_RNA from 1 species
AACCAUAGAAACCUGCGGAGUACCUGCGGAAGGAUCAUUACAGAGUUGCAAAACUCCCACAAACCAUCGCGAAUCUUACCCGUACGGUUGCCUCGGCGCUGGCGGUCCGGAAGGCCCUCGGGCCCCCGGACCCUCGGGUCCCCCGCUCGCGGGGGGCUGCCCGCCGGAGUGCCGAAACCAAACUCUUGAUAUUUUAUGUCUCUCUGAGUAAACUUUUGAAUAAGUCAAAACUUUCAACAA